rnacentral:rRNA from 1 species
GACGAACGCUGGCGGCGUGCUUAACACAUGCAAGUCGAACGAUGAGCCCGGAGCUUGCUCCGGUGGAUUAGUGGCGAACGGGUGAGUAACACGUGAGUAACCUGCCCUUGACUCUGGGAUAACUGCGGGAAACUGUAGCUAAUACCGGAUACGACCCUCGGCGGCAUCGCCAGGGGGUGGAAAGAAUUUCGGUCAAGGAUGGACUCGCGGCCUAUCAGCUAGUUGGUGAGGUAACGGCUCACCAAGGCGACGACGAGUAGCCGGCCUGAGAGGGUGACCGGCCACACUGGGACUGAGACACGGCCCAGACUCCUACGGGAGGCAGCAGUGGGGAAUAUUGCACAAUGGGCGCAAGCCUGAUGCAGCAACGCCGCGUGAGGGAUGACGGCCUUCGGGUUGUAAACCUCUUUUAGUAGGGAAGAAGCGAAAGUGACGGUACCUGCAGAAAAAGCACCGGCUAACUACGUGCCAGCCGCCGCAGUAA